AACGAACGCUGGCGGCAUGCCUAACACAUGCAAGUCGAACGUGAUCCGGAGCUUGCUCCGGUGAAAGUGGCGCUCGGGUGAGUAACGCGUGGGAACCUGCCCAGAGGUAGGGAAUAACCGCGGGAAACUGCGGCUAAUACCCUAUAUUCCCUUCGGGGGAAAGAUUUAUCGCCUUUGGAUGGGCCCGCGUCGGAUUAGCUAGUUGGUGAGGUAACGGCUCACCAAGGCGACGAUCCGUAGCUGGUCUGAGAGGAUGAUCAGCCACACUGGGACUGAGACACGGCCCAGACUCCUACGGGAGGCAGCAGUGGGGAAUAUUGGACAAUGGGCGCAAGCCUGAUCCAGCAAUGCCGCGUGAGUGAUGAAGGCCUUAGGGUUGUAAAGCUCUUUCGGCGGGGAAGAUGAUGACGGUACCCGCAGAAGAAGCCCCGGCUAACUUCGUGCCAGCCGCCGCCGUAAUAC
rnacentral:rRNA from 1 species